rnacentral:rRNA from 1 species
CAAGUCGAGUGCGCGUCCGUAGCAAUACGGAUGGCGCACGGCGCACGGGUGCGUAACACGUGGGCAAUCUGCCCUCGGAUGGGGGAUAACCCCGCGAAAGCGGGGCUAAUACCGCAUGACAUUCCGGAGACCUCGGUCUUUGGAUUCAAAGGUCGCAAGAUCGUCUGAGGAGGAGCCCGCGCCCGAUUAGCUAGUUGGUGAGGUAACGGCUCACCAAGGCUUUGAUCGGUAGCCGGUCUGAGAGGAUGGCCGGCCACACUGGAACUGAGACACGGCCCAGACUCCUACGGGAGGCAGCAGUGGGGAAUAUUGCGCAAUGGGCGAAAGCCUGACGCAGCGACGCCGCGUGGGGGAUGAAGCUUCUCGGAGUGUAAACCCCUUUCGACCCGGACGAAUGACCCGCAAGGGUUUGACGGUACGGGUAUAAGAAGCCCCGGCUAACUACGUGCCAGCAGCCGCGGUAAUACGUAGGGGGCCAGCGUUGCUCGGAAUUACUGGGCGUAAAGGGUUCGUAGGCGGUGCGGCAAGUUGGGAGUGAAAUCUCUGGGCUUAACCCAGAGGCUGCUUUCAAAACUGCCGUGCUCGAGUGCGAGAGAGGUCAGUGGAAUUGCAGGUGUAGCGGUGAAAUGCGUAGAUAUCUGCAGGAACACCCGUGGCGAAGGCGGCUGACUGGAUCGCAACUGACGCUGAGGAACGAAAGCUAGGGGAGCAAACAGGAUUAGAUACCCUGGUAGUCCUAGCCCUAAACCAUCAGGACUUGGGGUGGCCCGCGUAGGCGGGUCGUCCCGUAGCUAACGCGUUAAGUCCUGCGCCUGGGGAGUACGGUCGCAAGACUGAAACU